rnacentral:rRNA from 1 species
UACAGAGGGUGCAAACGUUGCUCGGAAUCAUUGGGCGUAAAGCGCACGUAGGCGGCCCAGCAAGUGGGGAGUGAAAGCCCUCGGCUUAACCGAGGAAGUGCUUUCCAAACUACUGGGCUUGAAUACUGGAGAGGGUCGCGGAAUUCCCGGUGUAGAGGUGAAAUUCGUAGAUAUCGGGAGGAACACCAGUGGCGAAGGCGGCGACCUGGACAGGCAUUGACGCUCAGAUACGAAAGCGUGGGUAGCAAACAGG